UACGUAGGCAGCAAGCGUUGUUCGGAGUUACUGGGCGUAAAGGGUGUGUAGGCGGUUCUUUAAGUUUGGUGUGAAAUCUCCCGGCUCAACCGGGAGGGUGCGCCGAAAACUGAAGGGCUAGAGUGCGGGAGAGGAGAGUGGAAUUCCAGGUGUAGCGGUGAAAUGCGUAGAUAUCUGGAGGAACACCGGUGGCGAAGGCGGCAUCCUGGACCAACACUGACGCUGAGGAGCGAAAGCCAGGGGAGCAAAGCGGG
rnacentral:rRNA from 1 species